rnacentral:lncRNA from 1 species
UGGGAAAAGGGGAAAGAGUGAAGGAGAGAGGACUCCACCGUCCGAAAAGCUCCCACCAACUAAAGGAAAGGAAGGAAAAGUUAAGCGUGGUAGUGGCACCGAGAAGCAAUUAUUACGUGAACGAAUAAGGGGAAUGCUUGUUAAUGCAGGUUGGACAAUCGAUUAUAGACCUAGAAGGAAUAGAGACUACCUAGACGCUGUUUACAUUAACCCCACAGGAACAGCGUACUGGUCCAUCAUCAAGGCUUAUGAUGCUCUCCAAAAGCAAAUUGAUGAUGAGGAGAGUAAAUCAAAACCUAGUGGUGACCUCUCUCCCUUUUCUCCCAUAGCAGAUGAGGUACUCAGCAAACUGACAAGGCAAACUCGUAAGAAGAUUGAGAAAGAAAUGAAAAGGAAACAAAAGGAUCAUGCUGGUACUAAGAAUACAGAUGCAUAUACCAAGGAUGACUCAGAGGAUGCAGAUGACAUUAAGCAUGAAGAGAAACUAAGCUCAUUCAUAAAGCAGAAUGGCAAGUCGAUUAAACGAACAUUAAGGCACGAUCGGGGU